rnacentral:misc_RNA from 1 species
CGGCGGAGAUCUCUCCUUUUCAGCAUCUUAGGGUUUUUUCUUUACCCAAACGCUUUUUAUUCUUUAUAUCCUGCCGUCUUGACCUCCCAGUACCCUUUCAUUUCCAGUGCCGUUCCAAUCUUCCCCUUCUUACCAUUCUCUGUUACUUCCUCAAGCGCCGCCAGUCCUUUCGGCGGCCAAAAUCACCGUUUCCUCCUCGGCCUUCCCUCUCCUCCCCUAUCAAAAACUCCAAAAAAAAAUAUAUAUAUAGCAAAAAGACUGAAACAAAAAAAAA